GAUGAACGCUAGCGGCAGGCUUAACACAUGCAAGUCGAGGGGUAUGCCGAUUUAUCGGCAGAGACCGGCGCACGGGUGCGUAACGCGUAUGCAAUCUACCUUUCACAGAGGAUAGCCCAGAGAAAUUUGGAUUAAUACCUCAUAGUAUAGCGGUUUCGCAUGAAACCACUAUUAAAGUUCCAACGGUGAAAGAUGAGCAUGCGUCCCAUUAGCUAGAUGGUAAGGUAACGGCUUACCAUGGCUACGAUGGGUAGGGGUCCUGAGAGGGAGAUCCCCCCANACUGGUACUGAGACACGGACCAGACUCCUACGGGAGGCAGCAGUGAGGAAUAUUGGUCAAUGGGACGCAAGUCUGAACCAGCCAUGCCGCGUGCAGGAUGACGGUCCUAUGGAUUGUAAACUGCUUUGUACGAGAAGAAACACAUUACGUGUAAUGUCUUGACGGUAUCGUAAGAAU
rnacentral:rRNA from 1 species